rnacentral:rRNA from 1 species
GAGAGAGGACCUAAUUUGAUUCCUAGCCUUUGGGUCAUGGAUGGCACUUUACUGUGCGUCUAUGAUCAUUUCCUUCGGGAGGGUUAGGAACAAUUACUUUGAAAAAAUUAGAGUGUUCAAAGCAAGCUUAACGCAUGAAUACAUUAGCAUGGAAUAAUGAAAUAGGACUUUGGUCUAUUUUGUUGGUUAAUAGAACCAAGGUAAUGAUGAAUAGGGAUAGUUGGGGGCAUUAGUAUUUAAUUGUCAGAGGUGAAAUUCUUGGAUUUAUGAAAGACUAACUUCAGCGAAAGCAUUUGCCAAGGACAUUCCCAUUGAUCAAGGACGAAAGUUGGGGUAUCGAAGAUGAUUAGAUACCGUCGUAGUCUCAACCAUAAACUAUGCCGACUAGGGAUCAGAUCGUCAUGAGAUGAUUUGGCACCUUAUGAGAAAUCAAAGUUUUUGGGUUCCGGGGGGAGUAUGGUCGCAAGGCUGAAACUUAAAGGAAUUGACGGAAGGGCACCACCAGGAGUGGAGCCUGCGGCUUAAUUUGACUCAACACGGGGAAACUUACCAGGUCCAGACAUAGUGAGGAUUGACAGAUUGAGAGCUCUUUCUUGAUUCUAUGGGUGGUGGUGCAUGGCCGUUCUUAGUUGGUGGAGUGAUUUGUCUGGUUAAUUCCGAUAACGAACGAGACCUUUAUCUACUAAAUAGCUUAUUCAAUCAUUUUGAUUGAUUGAAGCUUCUUAGAGAGACUAUUGA